rnacentral:rRNA from 1 species
UACGAAGGACCCGAGCGUUAUCCGGAUUUAUUGGGUUUAAAGGGUGCGUAGGCGGAUUAGUAAGUCAGUGGUGAAAGCCCGUCGCUUAACGGCGGAACUGCCAUUGAUACUGCUAGCCUUGAGUAUGGUUGAGGUGGGCGGAAUGUGUCAUGUAGCGGUGAAAUGCUUAGAUAUGACCCAGAACACCAAUUGCGAAGGCAGCUCGCUAAGCCAUAACUGACGCUGAUGCACGAAAGCGUGGGGAGCUAACAGG